CCUAAUUCUAUAGUAAGUCAGGUGAACCAAGAGCCUCACCUCGCCUAGCCUAACUUACUCCUCAGCCUCUCAAUACCUGGCAGGCUGGACGUACACCAGCCCUUGUUCUGGAAGAACCAUAUCCUUUCCCUCAUAUUCACUCUCUUAGACUUCACCAUCAAUUCAUACAGCAGAUAUCAUCAUACACAGUCUGGGUGUUGAUGAUUUGGGCCCAGAGAGACCAAGUAAGCGAAUUGCCUGAAGACACAUUGUUGGUGAGUAACAAAAUACGGGGACCUGGAGCAAUACUAAUUUCACAACCCUAUUUACUCUCUUCUGGAAAGUAAGAAAAAAAAAUGGUAUGACUCUGGAAAAAAUUGAUGAAGUUCCCAGGUCUCAGAUUAAAGCAUAAUAUUGGAGAAGCAGAAACUCCGUUUAUCACCCAGUGAAGUGAAUUUGAGGAUUAGAUCUUUCUCUGUUAGUUAUAGUGCAUUAUUCAGGGCAGAUACAUGUGCCUGACCAUGUUGAUCAGAUAAAGCAGAUGACCAUUAAAGUCCCCUAUCACAGUAUGAAAUAUGACUGUAUGUUCUGCUAUUCCUAUUUAAUGGAGAAAUGUGAGAAAGCUGUUCCUUGUUGAAAAUCAACUCACAAUAUAAACAAAUAACAUUGUAUCUAUUAACACUAGCAAAUGAGAACAGAAAAUAG
rnacentral:lncRNA from 1 species